rnacentral:rRNA from 1 species
AUUGAACGCUGGCGGUAUGCUUAACACAUGCAAGUCGAACGGUAGCAGGCCUUCGGGCGCUGACGAGUGGCGGACGGUGAGUAACGCGUAGGAAUCUGCCUCAUAGUGGGGACAACGUGGGGAAACUCACGCUAAUACCGCAUACGCCCUACGGGGGAAAGCGGGGGAUCUUCGGACCUCGCGCUAUGAGAUGAGCCUGCGUUAGAUUAGCUAGUUGGUAGGGUAAAGGCCUACCAAGGCGACGAUCUAUAGCUGGUCUGAGAGGACGAUCAGCCACACUGGGACUGAGACACGGCCCAGACUCCUACGGGAGGCAGCAGUGGGGAAUAUUGGACAAUGGGCGCAAGCCUGAUCCAGCAAUACCGCGUGUGUGAAGAAGGCCUUAGGGUUGUAAAGCACUUUCAAUUGGGAGGAAAACCCUGUCGGUCAAUACCCGGCAGCUUGACAUUACCUUUAGAAGAAGCACCGGCUAACUCCGUGCCAGCAGCCGCGGUAAU